AUUGAACGCUGGCGGCAUGCCUUACACAUGCAAGUCGAACGGCAGCACGGGAGCAAUCCUGGUGGCGAGUGGCGAACGGGUGAGUAAUAUAUCGGAACGUGCCCAGUCGUGGGGGAUAACGCAGCGAAAGCUGUGCUAAUACCGCAUACGAUCUCUGGAUGAAAGCGGGGGACUCGCAAGGGCCCCGCGCGGUUGGAGCGGCCGAUAUCAGAUUAGCUAGUUGGUGGGGUAAAAGCUCACCAAGGCGACGAUCUGUAGCUGGUCUGAGAGGACGACCAGCCACACUGGAACUGAGACACGGUCCAGACUCCUACGGGAGGCAGCAGUGGGGAAUUUUGGACAAUGGGCGAAAGCCUGAUCCAGCAAUGCCGCGUGCAGGAUGAAGGCCUUCGGGUUGUAAACUGCUUUUGUACGGAACGAAACGGCUCGCCUUAAUACGGUGAGCUAAUGACGGUAUUGUAAGAAUAAGCACCGGCUAACUACGUGCCAGCAGCCGCGGUAAUACGUAGGGUGCGAGCGUUAAUCGGAAUUACUGGGCGUAAAGCGUGUGCAGGCGGUUAUGCAAGACAGAUGUGAAAUCCCCGGGCUCAACCUGGGACCUGCAUUUGUGACUGCAUAGCUAGAGUACGGUAGAGGGGGAUGGAAUUCCGCGUGUAGCAGUGAAAUGCGUAGAUAUGCGGAGGAACACCGAUGGCGAAGGCAAUCCCCUGGACCUGUACUGACGCUCAUGCACGAAAGCGUGGGGAGCAAACA
rnacentral:rRNA from 1 species